rnacentral:rRNA from 1 species
AAUCAACGCUGGCGGCGUGCCUCAGACAUGCAAGUCGAACGAUUAAACUUUCCUUCGGGAAAGAUAUAAAGUGGCGCACGGGUGAGUAACACGUAAGUAAUCUACCCUCGAGUGGGGAAUAACGUUCGGAAACGGACGCUAAUACCGCAUAACGCAGCGGCACCGCAAGGUGACAGUUGUUAAAGAUUUAUCGCUUGAGGAGGAGCUUGCGGCAGAUUAGCUAGUUGGUAAGGUAACGGCUACCAAGGCUACGAUCUGUAACCGGUCUAAGAGGACGGUCGGUCACACUGACACUGAAUAACGGGUCAGACUCCUACGGGAGGCAGCAGUC